UAACUCUGACACCUCACAAACACUUCUCCAUGGAACCAAUGGCGGAUGGAGGAGAGGCUCGUCAGACAAACUCCACAUGAAGCUGUCCUCCCCCUGAAUUCUACCGUGUCGGGCAGAGGCACGCAGGGUGGGUAAGCCGUGUGGACUCCAUCGCUUCCUUCUCCCUGCGCUGUUGUCUCCGGCCGGCACACAUCAAUUCGCCAGUUGUUCCUACGUGCACCGCCAUGUGAGUCCUUGCGGGGAUGUCAGCG
rnacentral:lncRNA from 1 species